AAAAGCCUUUCUCUUAAGACCCUGACAGGAAAGGAAUGAGCUUUCUUCUACCACUGAGAAGAGUCAGCUAAUGUGGUGCUUGAACCCCCAAAUGUAGUCUGUUAUUUGGCCAUGGAGUGAAAUAAACUGUUUCCAAGUAGUUGGUUUUUCUCUCCCCGGAUUUGGGGGUUCAAGCACCACAUUGCUAGACGGGCUCUGUGACAUGAAAGAUGUUUGCUCCAGAAGUCUCUGAUUCCAAAGGAAGCACAUAAGGAAGAGUCCCCGUGGGCUGUGAGGAAUGGAGGGGGCUGUGGCCAGAGCACACAGAUCUGUAAGAACAUCGGAUGAAUCUGCCAUGGCGUGGGGGUCAUUUGAACCUGGACCUUGUGCUGUAAAUAGUGAAUCUAUGCUUUCUAAACAUCCAUGGAAAGAUGACUCGUGGAGUGUAUUAUGAGGCAAAUGUCUUGAUUCCUUCUCUCUUCAACUCUGAGGUCUAGAACUAAAAGUAUUAAGGGAAUCGCAGAUCCACACAAUAAGGGGGAACCAGAAUCCAGAAGGAUCCUGAAUUUCUGCCUUUGAACAGGAGGACAGACAUGCAGAAGCCAGAGAAACAGUGGAAAUAAGGAAACAAGGGAGAUUUUAAGGGAAAAUCUUAUACUCUGAGUGCAAGAAAGCUGUAAAAAGACUUAUCAAUUCAACUAGAAGAAUGGGUUGCAAAGAAAGAAAGAUGGUAACAUGAAUAAGCACUAAAGAUAUGCAAAAUACUGACUAGGGAGGAAACUUGUUAUAGUUGACCAGCUAUACAACACAAAGAUCCACAAUAGACAUCAGCUGCAACUGUGGGAGGAAAAGAGCUUCAGCCAGAGACCUGGGUAUCUAGGGAAGAGGUUCUCAUCUCUUCCCUAGGCACCUUGGCCAUCCAAGUUUAAAAACAGCUAAUUAGAUAUAGCAGCACAUGCCUAUAACGUUUGGGUGGUGGGAGGCAGGGCAGAGGCAGGAGAGUCAAGGUCAUUCUUAGAUGCACAUGGAGUUGAAGGUCGGUCUGGAGAACACAACACUGUCUAACCAGAAGCAAGGCUGAGGUUGAACCACACUGGUGUUUUUGGCCCUGCCCCUUCUAGCGGCACUGGCCCCGCCCCUUCCUCCUUUAUUUCCCUCCCUGCCCUUCGAGCCAUUACUGUGCUUGCUCUUACUGUUUGAGUGGAGUGGGUGGUCUUGUGUGGAGUGGGUGGUCUUGAGAAGUUUCAAGGCCUCUCCCACCUUUCUGAACCAGCACUUCUUCAUUUCUUAUGUAACUCUUCUCCUUGCUUCCUCUGCCAUCUCACUUACUGAAGCUCAGACAAGAGCGCGGACUCAUGCGACGGGUCGAAGGCUGAGCCUUCUCUUUGCUGGUGGAUAAAGUCUGGAAAAGUUGGCUCCCGGUCCACCAAGGAGUCGUUCGGCAUCAGGGAGCAGGGACACUAGGCUCCAGAUUGGUGGAUGCCACUUUAGUCCUGGAGAGAUGUGAGUUACCCACCGAGGUCAGUGAUCUGCCCAACCCCUCAGACCUACCGGAAGCCAAGGAGGGAUGAUGUCGGAGGAAGAAUUUGCAGCUUUCUGCUCAUGCAUGGACUUGAGGGCACAAGGGGAGGCCUGCAGUCAACAAUGAUAAAUCCUUGAUUUUGCUGAACAAAGGAAAGUCAUUUGGCUUAAGAAGACAAGGGCUGGAGAGAUGGCUCAGCGGUUAAGAGCACCCGACUGUUCU
rnacentral:sRNA from 1 species